AACGAACGCUGGCGGCAUGCCUAACACAUGCAAGUCGAACGAGACCUUCGGGUCUAGUGGCGCACGGGUGCGUAACGCGUGGGAACCUGCCCUUAGGUUCGGAAUAACUCCCCGAAAGAGGUGCUAAUACCGGAUAAUGUCUUCGGACCAAAGAUUUAUCGCCUUUGGAUGGGCCCGCGUUGGAUUAGCUAGUUGGUAGGGUAAAAGCCUACCAAGGCGACGAUCCAUAGCUGGUCUGAGAGGAUGAUCAGCCACACUGGGACUGAGACACGGCCCAGACUCCUACGGGAGGCAGCAGUGGGGAAUAUUGGACAAUGGGCGAAAGCCUGAUCCAGCAAUGCCGCGUGAGUGAUGAAGGCCUUAGGGUUGUAAAGCUCUUUUACCCGGGAUGAUAAUGACAGUACCGGGAGAAUAAGCUCCGGCUAACUCCGU
rnacentral:rRNA from 1 species